rnacentral:rRNA from 1 species
GAGUUUGAUCCUGGCUCAGGACGAACGCUGGCGGCGUGCCUAACACAUGCAAGUCGAACGGGGAUAUUGAUUUCGGUUGAUAUCCCAGUGGCGAACGGGUGAGUAACGCGUGAGCAACCUGACCUUUUGAGGGGGAUAACACCUGGAAACAAGUGCUAAUACCGCAUAAGACCACGGAGCGGCAUCGUUCAGGGGUCAAAGGAGGAAUCCGCAGAAGGAGGGGCUCGCGUCCCAUUAGAUAGUAGGCGGGGUAACGGCCCACCUAGUCGACGAUGGGUAGCCGAGCUGAGAGGCUGAUCGGCCACACUGGAACUGAGACACGGUCCAGACUCCUACGGGAGGCAGCAGUGGGGAAUAUUGGGCAAUGGGCGCAAGCCUGACCCAGCAACGCCGCGUGAGGGAAGAAGGCUUUCGGGUUGUAAACCUCUGUCCUUGGUGACGAAGGAAGUGACGGUAGCCAAGGAGGAAGCCCCGGCUAACUACGUGCCAGCCGCCGCGGUAAUUC